rnacentral:lncRNA from 1 species
CGUGGCUGAUUGUAGCGUCGCUGAGCCUGGUUGGCUGGUCACCCGCGUCGUUUUGAGGGUUUGGAAAUGACGGGUGAGCGACGGUGAAGUUCCGGUGCGGUUUUCGGGACUUUCGGUUUAUUCAGUAAUCGGUUUUGGGAAACCGGUCAUGGUUCUGGUGAGCAGGGGUCGUGAGUUAGCUUUUCAUGUCAGUGGGUUAGACCUUAACCCGUUGGACCUUUCGUAGGUUCGGUUGCACCGUCUUCACAGUCGAGAGAUCUUCGUCAGAUACGUACAGGUGGGUACUUCGAUCCGACGUUGGUACAGUGGUGCACGCUCGGUGACGUUUCCUUUACCCUUGUUGUUUAUAUCUUUUACCAUAUAUAUGUUGAGCCUUGUACCCAUGCUGUUUCUUUAUUACUCUCUACUUAAUUGUUGCCAGGUGUAGUAUCAUGUGUAGGAGUAGAGUAGACUUUAUCUGUUUAUGAUAUCUAUGAUUGGGUUGGUCUGAUCUCCUAUGUGAUCUCCAUGACCUGGAUGGUCGACGUUGCAUCUCCUACACUUGUGACCUGGUUGGUAGUUUCUUGUACCUCGUAUCAGUAACCUAGUUGGUCGGUUCUUUGACUUCUGUUGUCCGAUGACUGUUGAGGUCGGUGUACCCUGAGGGGUCGGAUUGUCGGCUAGUGGCCGACGGUAGUUCUAGAUUAUAUACUUGUGACAUGAUUGGUCGAGUUCAUAUCCUAUAUUUGUGACCUGGUUGGUCGUUUUGGUUACAUGAUGACCCAUGCGGUCGAUGGUUCCAUGUU